CAGGUAUUGAACUUAAGAGUUUGAUCCUGGCUCAGAUUGAACGCUGGCGGUAUGCUUUACACAUGC
rnacentral:rRNA from 1 species